rnacentral:pre_miRNA from 1 species
CUUGGGGGGGAGGGGCUCCCUCAGCCUGGAUUGUGAGAGGGCGCAGGCCAGGCUGAAGGACCCCACUGGUGCACA